UAGGGAAUCUUCCACAAUGGGCGCAAGCCUGAUGGAGCAACACCGCGUGAGUGAAGAAGGGUUUCGGCUCGUAAAGCUCUGUUGUUAAAGAAGAACACGUAUGAGAGUAACUGUUCAUACGUUGACGGUAUUUAACCAGAAAGUCACGGCUAACUACGUGCCAGCAGCCGCGGUAAUACAUAGGUGGCAAGCGUUAUCCGGAUUUAUUGGGCGUAAAGAGAGUGCAGGCGGUUUUCUAAGUCUGAUGUGAAAGCCUUCGGCUUAACCGGAGAAGUGCAUCGGAAACUGGAUAACUUGAGUGCAGAAGAGGGUAGUGGAACUCCAUGUGUAGCGGUGGAAUGCGUAGAUAUAUGGAAGAACACCAGUGGCGAAGGCGGCUACCUGGUCUGCAACUGACGCUGAGACUCGAAAGCAUGGGUAGCAAACAGGAUUAGAUACCCUGGUAGUCCAUGCCGUAACGAUGAGUGCUAGGUGUUGGAGGGUUUCCGCCCUUCAGUGCCGGAGCUAACGCAUUAAGCACUCCGCCUGGGGAGUACGACCGCAAGGUUG
rnacentral:rRNA from 1 species